rnacentral:rRNA from 1 species
ACGUAGGUCACAAGCGUUGUCCGGAAUUACUGGGUGUAAAGGGAGCGCAGGCGGGAGAACAAGUUGGAAGUGAAAUCCAUGGGCUCAACCCAUGAACUGCUUUCAAAACUGUUCUUCUUGAGUAGUGCAGAGGUAGGCGGAAUUCCCGGUGUAGCGGUGGAAUGCGUAGAUAUCGGGAGGAACACCAGUGGCGAAGGCGGCCUACUGGGCACCAACUGACGCUGAGGCUCGAAAGUGUGGGUAGCAAACAG